rnacentral:rRNA from 1 species
AACGAACGCUGGCGGCAGGCCUAACACAUGCAAGUCGAGCGAGACCUUCGGGUCUAGCGGCGGACGGGUGAGUAACGCGUGGGAACGUGCCCUUUUCUACGGAAUAGCCUCGGGAAACUUACCUUAAUACCGUAUACGCCCUUUGGGGGAAAGAUUUAUCGGAGAAGGAUCGGCCCGCGUUGGAUUAGGUAGUUGGUGGGGUAAUGGCCUACCAAGCCUACGAUCCAUAGCUGGUUUGAGAGGAUGAUCAGCCACACUGGGACUGAGACACGGCCCAGACUCCUACGGGAGGCAGCAGUGGGGAAUCUUAGACAAUGGGGGCAACCCUGAUCUAGCCAUGCCGCGUGAGUGAUGAAGGCCUUAGGGUUGUAAAGCUCUUUCAGCUGGGAAGAUAAUGACGGUACCAGCAGAAGAAGCCCCGGCUAACUCCGUG